CAGGUGUCAUAGACUUAAUAGGGAAGCCGGUAAAUGCCGGCGCGGUCCCGCCACUGUGACAGGGAGCGAUCCUGCGACGGCGUGAGCCGGGCCACUGGGGGAACCUGGGAAGGCGCAGGAGAGCAAGGAACUGGAGCCAGGAGAACUGCCUGAUUGA
rnacentral:ncRNA from 1 species